rnacentral:rRNA from 1 species
GUGAGUCAUCGAAUCUUUGAACGCAUCUUGCACCUUUUGGUAUUCCGAGAGGCAUGUCUGUUUGAGUGUCGUCCUUACUCUCAAUCGAACGCUUGUUCGAAUUGGAACUUGGGUGAAGGGCCAGGCUUGUAAUGAGCCUGGCCACCCGGAAGUCAAAUUGUAAGCCAUUAGUAAUAACGACGGCUUGACCAAGUGUUGUAGGGUUCGCCUCACUUGGGACGUCGUUAUUACGAAGGCGUUAGUACUUGAGCCUUAGCUCAAUUGUAAUCGCAUUUUGACCUCAAAUUCAGGCAGGAUUACCCGCUGAACUUAAGCAUAUCAAUAAGCGGAGG